rfam:Lactobacillus diolivorans DSM 14421 NODE_166, whole genome shotgun sequence.
AAUUCUGAGUAAUUGCGGUCGUCUUUUAUGGCGGCUGAGGAAAGUCCAUUCUCGCACAGGCUGAGACGCCUGUAGUGUUCGUGCUCGGUGAAAAAAUAAGCCGGGGGACUCUUCGGAGUUACGGCGGAUAAUCCGGCUAAGGCUUUGCUAUGCUGGAAAAUCCUUAAGGUGCCACAGUGACGAGCAGUGUUGGAAACAAUGCUGGUGGAACGCGGUAAACCCCUCGAGCGGGAAACCCAAACUUUAUGGUAGGGGAGCUUCACACACGGUAAAUGAACCAAGUGUGGGGGAGAAAGAGAUUUCUCUUUCUCAGAUAGAUGAUUACUACUUGCUUUAUCGUCCUGGGAUGACGCAAGCACAAAACAUGGCUUACAGGA